CCCUUAGAUGUUCUGGGCGGCCCGCGCACUACAAUGGCGUGUGCAGCGAGUGCCGAAGUAGAGUUUUCCGAGGUAUUCUUGCAAUGCUCGUUUUGAUGGGGAUAGACCCUUGCAGCUGUUGGUUUUGAACGAGGAAUUCCUUGUAAGCAUGGUUUAUCAUCCGACGCUGAAUGCGUCCCUGCCCUUUGUACACACCGCCCGUCGCUCCUACCGAUGAGUCGUCCGGUGAAGUUCGUAGACCUCGUGAUCGCGGAUCACUGGGGGAAGCAAAAUGAACCUCGCGGUUUAGAGGAAGGAGAAGUCGUAACA
rnacentral:rRNA from 1 species